rnacentral:tRNA from 2 species
GAGAGAGGCUCGCCAGCACCGGAAACUGCUAACUUCCACCACCUUGGUUAAACCCCAGGGCUCACUCG